GAUUAUUUUUCACACCUCUCUUCCUCCUUUCCACAUCUUCUCCCUCUUCUAUCUCUGAUAUCUAUCCCUCUUCUACAUCCAAGGGUGUUGGACGAGCCAUCUGAUGGGUUCAAGGUGUCGAAUGCCAUCAGUUCUACGUGAAGAGACAAAAAGACUGCAAUCAAGGGUUGAUCGGAGUCCUGUCGGCAAUCAAAUUUGAAUCUGAUCAAAGAGCUUGCAAUUUCAUCUAGGAGUAGGCAGAUUGAUCGAGGAGAAGGCAUCUUAGAUCAAAUUUAAGUGGAUAUUUGUAGAGAUCGGACACGUGCGUCGAUCCACAGUGAACCUCAGAGAUCAUUGGAACAUCAAUCGCGGAGAUCGUCUACCCACGCACGGUGAUGAGAUCACCUCUUAUCUCUUAUUCAUGUUGAUUUUUAUUAUUUAAUAUACUAUUUUUCUAAUUUGGAUCUAAGUCUCGCACAUCGGAUUGGAUUAAAAUUUUUUGAAUUUCACUGCAUCUGAUCCGAACCAAUCCGGUGUGCUAUCCGAUUAUUCAACUGGUAUCAGAGCCAGAUUGUUUGGAUCUUAGAUCUAAAUUAGAUCAGAUUUGAUUCAGAUGUAAUCUAAAGAAUGAUCAGAUCUAAAAAUAUUUAGAUUAGAUCUGAAUAAUGUAUGUUUAGAUAGAUCUAAAAUUAUUUUAAAUUUAAAUUCAAUAUGUUGUAAAUUAGAUCUUUUUGAUCUAUAUGAUAUAUGCAUAAAUCUAUUUUAUUAUUUGAGUAGUCUAGUACUCAGAAUGGAUGUACCAUCAAAUCGUC
rnacentral:lncRNA from 1 species